UUUUUUUUCUAGUCUUAAUCGAGUGGACAUCAUUGGGAAUGGGGGAAACUAAGUGACUGUGUACGGGAGCUACUUUUUAAGUUUCAAAGCACCUCAGCAGCUGUGUCUGAGCCCGUGCAUGCUUGGGGACGGUCAGAGGAGAGUUUCUGAGAAGGUGGAGCCCUCGGCUUCUCCCUGAAUAACUGGGAGAUGAAACAGGAAACUGUGUGACACGCUCGAUCGAAAAUGACACAGACAGAAAAACCAGGAUUGAGCCUCACCUUCAGCAGCACCUUUACCUACUGCUAGCUGAUCACAGCCUCUAAUGCAACAGGAAGUGGCUCGGCCCAGCCAAGGCAACAUUCCCUUCCUGUUUGUCAGCUUCAGUGUGAUGACGGUCGCGGCGGUGGUGAUCACGUUGCUGGUGAUACAACAAAAACAGAAACAGUCGCGGAGACCAGCGCUGCUUCCUUGCCGGACCUCAACGUGGGGCGCAGGAGAGGAGAGGAGAGGAACUGGGGC